GGGGAAUAUUGGGCAAUGGGGGCAACCCUGACCCAGCAACGCCGCGUGAAGGAAGAAGGCUUUCGGGUUGUAAACUUCUUUGACGAGGGACGAAGAAAUGACGGUACCUCGAAAACAAGCCACGGCUAACUACGUGCCAGCAGCCGCGGUAAUACGUAGGUGGCAAGCGUUGUCCGGAUUUACUGGGUGUAAAGGGCGUGUAGGCGGGCUGUCAAGUCAGAUGUGAAAUCUAUGGGCUUAACCCAUAACGUGCAUUUGAAACUGAUAGUCUUGAGUGAUGGAGAGGCAGGCGGAAUUCCUAGUGUAGCGGUGAAAUGCGUAGAUAUUAGGAGGAACACCAGUGGCGAAGGCGGCCUGCUGGACAUUAACUGACGCUGAGGCGCGAAAGCGUGGGGAGCAAAC
rnacentral:rRNA from 1 species